GUUUGUUAAAUACUGGCAGCUCUGGCCAAACUUUCCUAUCGACGUCGUCUCGUCUCAUUGCCUCCGCGAAAAUAACGACUUUGUGGUGAAAUUUUAGAUGUUUGCAUGCGAAAAACACUUGCAAACAUCACAACAUCUACAAUAAGUUAUACUUUUCGAGCGGUUCAAAUGCAGUGCCAACGAAAUUAUGCAUAAUUAAAGGUAUAAUGUGUUGUGAAAAAGUGCACUAACUUGGAAUUCUACCGCCGCCGUCAUUCUUGCAAAGGCCGUCUCCGUUUUUCGUGACGCCGCUGUCGCAGUUGACGUCGCUGUUUGCUGGUAAUUUCAGUUAGGUUUUUUAUGCGAUUCUGGUUCAAUCGAAUUUGCAUUGGUUGGCGCGAGUAUUACUUGUAGUAGUGAGAAUUCUAAUAAUAAAAGUUGCUUUUUACUUGUUUAAAGUAUACUGCAAAGUGGCCAAGAAGACAACAUAAAAAAAUUACAGACAAAUUUUCCAAAAGGAUUAUUUCGGCUGCGUUAUUGAAUAGUAUAUAAAAAUAAAAACAAACAAAUACCCGAGACAGUCAUCUCGUUCUAACAAAUGCUUCUACGCGGGUUAAACCAACAUAGUCGUCGGAGCGAAAACGUGUUGUAUUUGUAAUGUGUGAUUAAAAUAUUGAAGAAAAUUUUUCAAAUAAUUGACCAAUUUUUGUGACAAGCAUCUGCUGAUUAUUGUGGCUUGACUUCUCUUCUCCCUGUUCUUAGGGUCUGAAUUUUGUAUCAGGUAUAUAUAUAUUCAAUAAAACUAUUAUGCUAAAUCCAUCAUGAAAGUAAAUUGACAAUAAUCUACGAAAAUUUCGAGUAU